rnacentral:rRNA from 1 species
GAUUAACGCUGGCGGCGUGCAUAACACAUGCAAGUCGAACGAUGAAACUUAAAUGAUUUCUUCGGAAUGAACUUAAGUGGAUUAGUGGCGGACGGGUGAGUAACGCGUGAGUAACCUGCCUUACACAAGGGGAUAGCCGUUGGAAACGACGAAUAAUACCCUAUGAAACUAUCACUUCGCAUGAAGCGAUAGUCAAAGUGUUAGCGGUGUAAGAUGGACUUGCGUCUGAUUAGCUAGUUGGUGAGAAAAAAGCCCACCAAGGCAACGAUCAGUAGCCGGCUGUGAGAGGGGACGGGCCAACUGGGGGAUGGACCAGGGCCCGACCCCCUGCGGGGGGGGGACGGGGGGAAUUGUGGAAGAGGGGGGAAACCCGGAACGCGGGGCGCCGGGUGAUUUAGAAGGGCUUGGGGUUGUAAAAAUCUUUUUAAGAGGAAAAAAAGGACGGAACUAAUAAAAAAAGGCCCGGCAAAUUACGG